UAACCUGCCUCUUAGCGGGGGAUAACUAUUGGAAACGAUAGCUAAUACCGCACAAAAGUCGAUAUCGCAUGAUAUUGAUUUGAAAGGUGCAAUUGCAUCACUAAGAGAUGGACCUGCGUUGUAUUAGCCAGUUGGUGAGGUAACGGCUCACCAAGGCGACGAUACAUAGCCGACCUGAGAGGGUGAUCGGCCACACUGGGACUGAGACACGGCCCAG
rnacentral:rRNA from 1 species